GGCUGCCCGGGAGCCCACCGCAGUGGCGGGGGGCGGGGCUUGGGCAUGGCGGGCUGCAGGUCCUGAGCCCUCCCCUGGGGGUAGGCGGCUGAGGCCUGUUGAGAAUUAAAGCGCGGCGCGGGCGGGCUGGCAGUGCUGAGGGACCCGGCGCACCCUCCACAGCUGCUGGCCCCGGUGCUAAGCCCCGCUGAGCCUGCGCCCACCCGGAACUGGCGCUGGCUCGCGAGCGCGGCGCGCAGCCCCAGCUCCCGCCCGUGCCUCUCCCUCCACACCUCCCUGCAAGCAGAGGGAGCCGGCUCCGGCCUCAGCCAGCCCAGAAGGGGGCUCCCACAGCGCAGCAGCGGGCUGAGGGGCUCCUCAAGCACUGCCAGAGUGGACGCUGUGGCCUAAAGAGGUGCUGAGAGCGAGCGAGGGCUGCUAGCACGAUGUCACCUCUCAAUUACAGUAUUGUAGUUUAACAUAGCUAAUCUUGGCUUCAUGAGGCACUGUCUUUUCCGCGUUGCCAUUUGGUUUGUGAGCAUUUGAGGAAACCGUCUUCCUGAACUCCACAGAUUUUAUAUGUUAUUUCAGCACUUGAGGAAACCGUCUUCCUGAACUCCACAAAUUUUAUAUGUUAUUUCAGCACUUGAGGAAACCGUCUUCCUGAACUCCACUGCAUCUCAGUUUUAUAUCGUCUCCCAGGCUGGAUUGCAGUGGCACAAUCUUGGCACACUGUCACCUCCACCUCCCAGGUUCAAGCAGUUCUCAUGCCUCAGCCUCCCAAGUAGCUGGGAUUACAGAUGUAUCUACUUUCUAAGGAAAAGAUAAUAGAAGAAACUGGGAUUUUGGAAAUAAAUACAAUAAAAGACCCAUCAACUAAAGAGGAGAAAAUGUACUGUACAGUGGAACCCUGGCUUUGGCUGGACCCAAGACCAAACCUCUGUGGCCGACAGUGCGUUUUCCCGAGUUCUUGUCCUCCACUCAGGAAGAAUGAGGUACGCAGACAAGUGGAGGGAAAGCAAGAUGAAGAGGAGCUUUGCUGAGUGUUAGAAAAGCUCAGAGGAGACCUGCAGAGUCUACUUUAGCAUGCAGUUAAGAGUCACAAUUAUGAUGCCAAUAUGUGUUUCUGGACUUCAGAAGAACUUAAUACCACCUCAGUAUAUCUUGCCUUGUGGGUUAUCAAUAAAUAUUUCAUAUCAUUUUGUUUCUUUAAGCCUUAGAAAUAUGUCAUGUGAAGUAUUAAGAUAGUCAUAGUUCUCCAAAUCUGAAGAAUAUAUUAUGUGAGAGAAUUAAAUAGCUUUUCCUGAAGAAUUUUUUCAUGAUAAAAGUCACUUAAAAAGCUCUGAGCAUAUCUCAUUUCCCAGAGCACUGCCAGCUCCCGUUCCUUUUCUACACAAUUUGGCUUUGAAAAUCCAUUAUCUAUCUGUAUAUUUGUAUCAGUGUAGUUUAAAAAGUGGCUGGUCAUUCUUCACUGCUGAAGCUUGUUGAAAGUCAUUUCUACUUACCAGAUUCAGUAAUUGGGCAAGAACAAAUAAAGUACAUAGAAAUCAGUGUCUCUGCAAAGAGACUAGUAUAAUUUUUGCAAACACUGUCACUACUUUGUUUUAUUUUCAUGUGUACAUCCACAAGAUUGAACAAGUUGAGCACUUGAUGCAAAAAGUAUAAUUUGAUUAUUUUCCUUUCUCUGAAGAUUUCCUUGUUAUGUCUGCACGGGUUGGACACCAAAGGGUCUAUGAUCUCACUGGUCAUAUUGUGAAAGGUCCUCUGGUCACAGUGGCCCACAGAAUAUUCUCGGUAUAUAAUUACCAAGUUUUUUAGCAUAAGCCAAACUUACAAAAUCGUGUUCAUUGUUCUGGAGUGCUUUAGGAUCAUUUACAGCAAUAGUAAAAGAGAGAACUUUCUAAUUAGAAAACAUAAAUUUGUUUAUGGAAAUUCAACUUUAUUCUCCACAUUUGCUAAUUUCAGGAUUGUACUUGGGCAACUGAGAAGAAAAUGGGAGUGUAAUUACAAAGACACUUCUUGAAUAUAGCACCAUCUUGAGGUGUUGACAUUCUGUAGGCUCAGCAGGUGUUCAAAGACGACACAAUGUUUCAUUAAGUGCUUUGGUGGAAUAAAGUCUGGUUUUCUAGGAAACAGCCCCUGAGAUGAUGUGGUUUACCUAACGUAGUGAUUCUUUUUUUUUUUUUUUUUUUUUUGAGACGGAAUCUUGCUCUAUCGCCAGGCUGGAGUGCAGUGGCGCAGUGGCCCGAUCUUGGCUCACUGCAACCUCCGCCUCCCAGGUUCAAGUGAUUCUCCUGCCUCAACCUCCGGAGUAGCUGAGACUACAGGUGCGUGUCACCACGCCCAGCUAAUUUUUGUAUUUUUAGUAGAGAUGGGGUUUCACCAUAUUGGCCAGGAUGGUCUCGAUCUCUUGACCUUGUGAUCCGCCCACCUCACCCUCCCAAAGUGCUGGUAUUACAGGAGUGAACCACCGCGCCCGGCAAUGUAGUGAUUCUUACCCGAAUCAAUAAUGAGUCUCAGCCCAUGAUCAUUUCUCAGGCUGUGACUGUGGCACUUUUCUCUUUCUGGUUAGAAGUGAGUUGAAGAAGAGCAAGAGAAUGUUCAGAGAAACAUGGGAGUAACUAAUAUAAUCUCCCUUCUCAAAUUAUGUGUUACCAGAAUUACUUUUUCUGAUGGCCAUGAUCAACUAGUGCUGACAGAAGUAUUAUUACUUAUACCGUUCAUGUUAUUAUUCAUUUUCCUUGAUUACUCUUGAUGCUUAUUUUUGUUAAAGCGACUAUUUUGAUUAUUUUCUAUUUCCCAUUUUCUUAAUUUCUGUUACUUUUAAAUACAUAUUUAUUUCAUGUACUUAAUACGUUUAGUUUGUUCUUUUAGCUUCCAAACAAAAUUAUCAACAUAGAAAAGACAACACAAUUUAAAAAAUCUACAGUAGAGCAGCAAACAGUUUCUGCAUUUGAAAUAGCAACAAAUGUUAGAAUAAUUAUUAGUAUGUUUUUAUGUCUUUGUGCCACAUACUGUGCUAUGAAUCACUUCAUUACACAGUAGGGUAACUUAAUGUUAUGUUUAGGCUGAGUGCAAGGAAACCAGGAAUAUCCAAUAAAAGAAUGGGUAUUUACAUGUGAAAGUAUUGGGAAAAUUAUGGUGAAGGAGAUAACUGUAUUACAUAGAAACAUGGAAGGAAAUUAUAGGAAAAGGGCAGAGCACAACUAAACACACAAGCAAGAAAGUAAAUGGCUUGCUUUGGGAAUAGCUAGCAACUUUUCUUAUUAACACCAUAUGAUCAAAAUUAUAACAAAAUUUUAAAAAAUGAAACAAUGCAGGUGUUUAUGAAAAUAAAAAGGAUAAAGAACUGAGAAUUUUUGCCUUGAUUGUAAGCCUGUGUGAAAACUGUGAAAACUGUUAGAUGUUAAAUUUCACAAAAAGAUAUGGAGAAGAAUAUUCAUUAUAGAAAACAAUAAAACAGGAGUUAAAGGCCAAAAAUUCAAGCUAAAAACUGUUAUAAGAAAUUGAUAAACAGUAUUGUACUCUAUGAAUCUAUCUAUGUCCUUAUCUAUGCAUCUAUGUUUUGUAGAAUGCAAGUGGAGGCUCUGAAACUUCUUAUCCAGCCUCCUUUACCUUUCCUCCACUUUUCUUCCUGUCAGUAAAAGGAAAACUCUAUUUUAACUCAGAAAUAUUUUGCUCAGAAAAGAUCUCAGAAAAAAAUCUCAGAAGUGUUUGUGGUUCAAAAAUCUGUUUCCUUAAAAACUUAACUUUUAAAUACAGUAAAAAGUAUUAGAUCCUCUCGUACUUCUGAGUAAACAUCUUUCUAACUUAUAAAACUAAUUUGUAAUAGUAUCCAAACUCUUUCCAAAAAUGUUCAAUAUGCUUUUUUAUUAAAAUAGAUGACAUAUGAAGAAUUUACCAUAAUGAAAAUAUCUUAUAUUGUUGAUUGAAAAUACCUCACUAAUUAUUAUAUUUCAAUGUCUGUGACUGUAAAAAUGAGAGAAUUAUACUAAAUAAUUGGAAUAGACUUUGCUAGCUCUAAUUGAUGUGAGUGAAUGCAUUUUUGUUAUUAUGAA